rnacentral:ncRNA from 1 species
UGGUCCCAGCCUUAAGAUCAGUUGCUACUUAACUUACACAUGCGAGUCUCCGCACCCCUGUGAGAACGCCCUUUAACCCUUUAAGGGUCAAGGAGCUGGUAUCAGGCACAAAAAUUAGCCCAAGACACCUAGCUACUGCCACACCUACACUGGGAGCCCAGCAGUGAUUAACAUUAAAUAUAAGCGCCAGCUUGAAGCAGUUAAAGUAGAAAGAGCCGGCUAAUCUGGUGCCAGCCGCCGCGGUUACACCAUGUGGCUCAAACUGACCCUCUUCGGCGUAAAGCGUGAUUAAAGUCCCCCUUUACUGCAAUUAAACCAUAAUUAAGCCGUGACACGCUUAUUAUCAAGAAACCCAACAAACGAAAGUCAUUGCACUUCUAAACUUGAACUCACGACAGCUAGGAAACAAACUGGGAUUAGAUACCCCACUAUGCCUAGCCGUAAACUUUAAUUUACCCCCCCCCCCGCCAGGGAACUACGAGCAAAGCUUAAAACCCAAGGGACUUGACGGUACCCCAAAUCCACCUAGAGGAGCCUGUCCUGUGAUCGAUAACCCCCGCUUUACCUCACCACUUCUAGCCUCUCAGCCUGUAUACCUCCGUCGUCAGCUUACCCCGUGAGCGCUUAUUAGUGAGCUUAAUGCCUUACAUCAAUACGUCAGGUCAAGGUGCAGCAUAUGAAGUGGGAAGAGAUGGGCUACACUGUCUAUUUUAGACAAUACGAAAGACUUUAUGAAAUCUAGUCGGAAGGCGGAUUUAGAAGUAAAAGAAGAGUAGUGUGCUUUCUUUAACUCAGGCACUGGGGUGUGUACACACCAGCCCAGUCACCCUCUUCAAAGCUUUAAUAUAAGUUUUUAACACAAGUAAGCCCCCCAGAAGAGGCAAGUCGUAACAUGGUAAGUAUACCGGAAGGUGUGCUUGGAAA